UACGAAGGGUGCAAGCGUUGUUCGGAUUUAUUGGGCGUAAAGCGCGCGUAGGCGGACCUGCAAGUCAGAUGUGAGAUCUCGGGGCUCAACCCCGAAACUGCGUCUGAAACUACAGGUCUAGAAUCUUGGAGGGGGAAGGGGAAUUUCGCAUGUAGGGGUAAAAUCCGUAGAUAUGCGAAGGAACACCAGAGGCGAAGGCGCCUUCCUGGACAAGUAUUGACGCUGAGGCGCGAAAGCGUGGGGAUCAAACAGG
rnacentral:rRNA from 1 species